GACAGGAUGAAAUAAAUCUUUUUUUUUUUUUGUUUGUUUGUUUUUUUGUUUUUAUUAAUGGAAAUGUGAGUUCUAGAAACCGAGGGAUAAAAUGUUUCAGACGGAGAACUGGAGGGAAACUGUUACUGUGUGUCUUCAUUACGAUCAAACCCUCGGAGACAAGCCGUAACAUACAUAACACACUCAUCCCUUGGGUUUGAUGUGGGAAGAAUCCAGCUGGGUUUGAGGCUGGAAUGAUGGGUAGAAGAACGCCGGUAGUCACAUGACCCUUGGAAUGCACUGCAUCCAAUGUACUUUCGGUCUUGUAACAGCAGUGCCUUUUACUGUCUUUAUUUGACUAUUUAAAAAAAAAAA